rnacentral:rRNA from 1 species
AUGGAGUUCUCGCUUUCUGACCUCCCACCCGAAGCUGGAGAUUUUUCGCAACUAGACCUAGGUCCUUUCAAACAGUGCGUGAAUAUAGCCAUUGUGGAGGCAGGGGAAGGCAUCACUGGGAUGUUUGUGCUUCUAAAUGGCACAUCUAACAUCAGUUAUCUAAUUAGGCGAAACAAUGGUGGGAGUUCCAACCAGUGGCAGAUGAAGACAAUCCCACUGGAUUCUUCUAGCUACAUUUUCACGAGUUCAACAGGGAGGUACUUGGUUAUAAUUCAAUGGGGAAGAGAAGACAGGGCCACUUUCACGUUGGAUGUCAAAACAUUCCAACUUGAGAAGGUGUUCACUGGUUUCGGUUCGCCGUAUUUAUAUAGAAACUUCCCACCGUCAUUGUUGUCGUCACCGACAAUAUCAUGUGGUAAGCUUUUUGUUGUGUCCAAGUUAUGUCCUUGCCUUCAUAGGUAUCGCACAGCUUUUCGGAUGCCUCGUAUUUCAUUACUGUGA